GGUAUUGGCAGCUUCCGGGGUAGAUGAGGCCACGGACUGUGGCAUCCAGGCAUCCUGCAUGGACGACUCUUAUGCUGCCAUGCCCUGCAGAUUGCUGAUAGCCAGACUGACAAAUCAAGGACUACUAUAAGCUCUAAGGACCUCCACGACUGAUAACGCCAAUUUUUCCAGGAUCGGACUUUAAUUAAGCCUGAUAUAGCUAUUUUAAGUUCAAAUAAGCAACAAUUAUAAUUUAUGCUCGUUUUAUAUUAUUUUAAGAGAAAUAAUUAAGAAAAUUAGCAUAAAAAUCAAUAAUUUUGUAAAUUUGAACAUAAAUAAAUCAAUUAUUUAAAAUAAAAAGAAA